AGCUGCCCUCUUUGCUGAGGGUGCGUGAAAUGAGUCGUGAGGGAUGAUCCAAAUCAGUUUGUGUAGGCUUUCUAUAGAUGUUAUAUGAAAAAAUAUAUGUUUCAUUUAGAAGUCUCCUUAGCAUCCCAUUGUCCACAGAAAACUAUGACAAAUAAAUGAAGACCAUAUACCAGAUCGGAAAUGCCAAUCGAUAAACUGACAAAUUCAUUGAUACCAUUCUGAACUCCACAAAGAAAAAAAUAACUGUUAACAAAAUAUACCCACAUACUCUGUCAUAAAGUCACUUCAUUUCAAUACCCUUUUAUAAAUACCUAAACCCAAAAUUAACUUCAACUCUCAGGAAGUAUGACUAUACCCUUUCUAACAAACGAUAUUUAACCCUUGGAAACUUAUUACUUAAACUGCACAGACUGUUAAUCUUUUUACAUAGGAAUGACAACUCGAAACAUGAAUUUCGAUAACCUUGAAAUUUAACAUACAGAAAAUAACUUUCAUAAAAUGGCACUAUUAGAACAUACUAAAUAUUAAAAAAGGAAAAUGACGCGAACCUUUUAAACGAAUUUUCGGAUUUCGGUACAUCCAAAAACAUCUUCAAACUGAUAACCCCUUUCAUCUAGUCAAUUUGAAUUUACCCGCCAAACCUUUACAUUCCCGUCCUCUCCAUGAGCUCCCACAUCCGUUUUCCCUACCAUCGUCAAUUCCUGGAAGAAAAACCAAGUCAACACCACGUUAUCUAGAUUCCGAAACAUUGCCGUGACAAAUUCUAAAAUAGUAGCUACAGUCAUUUAACUAUUGAAAAUUAAAGGUUGUUAUUUCAGUUGAAAACAGAACGCUGGCCUGAUGAUGGUUCCACUGUAAACCGAAAUCGAUCGCCAAAAUAUACGUUGAAAAUUAAUAUAGUAUGUUUUUUCUACCUUCAAAAAUUGAAUCGCCUUCUAUAAGCUAAAUUCCAAAUACAACUAUAUAAUAUGUUGUAGGUGGUAUUUAGCCUUACGUCUUUAUAUUCCUGGAGUUUUUAUCGUUUUCUGAAAAUAAUAAUUGCUUUGAAUAAUAAAUAGUAUAUAAGGCAAUUGAUAUUGUAUACAUAUAUAUCAAGAUC